GGGGGGGUCCAUGGGCUUGAUAGCCGAUACCUCGUUUGUGGUGUUUGAUUCGGUCUUGCUGUGGGCGUGAACAUUGAUCUGGUCUUUCUGCAUGCUUGUAAUUAUAUGGUUGGCAGAAUUUGGGUGUCAAAAGGUGUUUAAAUUUGACCAAGGACAUUGGCUGUGAUAUUCGAGAGGCAUGGACCCCGAUUGACCCGAUUAAUUCUUUGAAUUUAAGAAUGGAAAACCAAAAAUGGAAAAGCUAAAAAUAACUAAGGAUUCUGCACCCAAAGCUAAAAGCUUACCCAGUGAAGACAUUGAUCUGAUUACCCAGUAAAGUUGAUGAGUAAACCACAAGAGAAGUGAACACGGGAGUCUGUCAUGGUUGCAGGGGGGAAAAAAAAACGAUCGAGAUGGUUUAAUUGCAUAUGCAACCCAAAUCCAAAUAAGACUAAAGAAGUGUAAACAAUUUGGCAAGGACGAGUUGGAUGAGUUUUUUUUUUUUUGACAGAAGGGUCGUGUAAAUGUUAACGUGAGGACUGUGUUGAUGAAUCAUUUAUAAAAAUAUUUGUAAAUGAUUUUAAAUGAUUUAUGAUUUUCAUUUGAGGACUAUGUUGAUGAAUCAUUUAUAAAAAUUUUUGCAAAUGAUUCAUGAUUUUCAUUUUCCACGUAUGUUCUGAUUUGUAGCGAUAAACGGAGAGGAACUCACUAAAACUUUUAAUUACAAAAAAAAAGAUUAGGACUAAA